GUGAACGCUGGCGGUAGGCCUAACACAUGCAAGUCGAACGGCAGCACAGUAAGAGCUUGCUCUUACGGGUGGCGAGUGGCGGACGGGUGAGGAAUACAUCGGAAUCUACUUUUUCGUGGGGGAUAACGUAGGGAAACUUACGCUAAUACCGCAUACGACCUACGGGUGAAAGCAGGGGAUCUUCGGACCUUGCGCGAUUGAAUGAGCCGAUGUCGGAUUAGCUAGUUGGCGGGGUAAAGGCCCACCAAGGCGACGAUCCGUAGCCGGUCUGAGAGGAUGAUAAGCCACACUGGAACUGAGACACGGUCCAGACUCCUACGGGAGGCAGCAGUGGGGAAUAUUGGACAAUGGGCGCAAGCCUGAUCCAGCCAUACCGCGUGGGUGAAGAAGGCCUUCGGGUUGUAAAGCCCUUUUGUUGGGAAAGAAAAGCAGCAGGUUAAUACCCCGCUGUUCUGACGGUACCCAAAGAAUAAGCACCGGCUAACUUCGUG
rnacentral:rRNA from 1 species